GUCCUCCAUAAAUACACUGCUUAUAUGUGACUGAAUUUCUAAUUUGUUGAAAGUGAAAACUCUUACCCUGAAGGAUCAUUAUUACAAUUUCCCUGGAAGAAUAAAAUACCGCCAAGCAGCAUACCUCAGGGAAUAAAUAUACAUCAUACUUUCAUGAAAUUUGCACACAAUCCGGGUCAGGUGGUUAAUGAAGCCAUAAACUAUACUAUGUCUGAAGUACUAAACAUUACCUUAUUCAGUUGGCCUCGGCGGUGUUAAGAGAGCGGAAGAUGUUUAUUGCCAGAAGCUACCCUUCUCGCCUGGCGAGGCCCGUUGAUAGCCAGCUCUUUGUAAAUAAACAUAUAACCUUUGCAAAGGUAAUUUAAGGCCGUGCCUUAAAGAAGAUGGUAAGGUGCACGGGGAGGGAGAGCGAAAAUAAAAAAUCGCAUGAAUAAAGUCGAAGGCUGCAGGCUAGGGUGGUUAUUAAGUCCCAAGCUGUUUUUCCUUCACUUUUCCUCACCACCGAAAUAAAAACAAUUAUUGCUAUGAUGCUCUAAAAUUAGAACACAUUUGUCGUUUUUAAAGGCAGCCACAACUGAACUUGAGCUCAGCAGUAAAAGAGGAGGCAAAGCAAACAGUUGUGCCCGGGGCCUGCCCUCUCGGAGCUUGGCACCAGCCGGGGAGGAGAGCAUCGCCCCCUGGGGUGUGGGUUUAAGCGCAGGGGCCCUGGCGGAAGAGGCAUCGUAAAAGGGAUUUAAGAAAUCCCCAUGGCCCGGGCUACAGAGCGCAUCACCACCCCACAGAGAGCGCCCCUAAACCGCCCUGUGCGGGGAUCGGCUGCAGCCCCACCAGAAAGGGCUUCCCUCCCCACAAUCACAGGGGAGUCUGUGCGUGGUCCCAAGAGCACCACUAGAAUCAUGCAGAACCUACCAGCUAUGCCGCAGCGAGCAAUUCAUCUGAGGCCGACCCACUGUUCGAUGGAGUUCUGGCCUGUAACUGUAUCUAUGGGACCGGCUUGUGACCACAGUGACGAUGGUGUAAUGUGCACAGGAUGAAAUGGCACGGUGUUAGAUGAUGCUGUGACACAGCCAGGGCACGGGCUACGUCUGGGUUCUGUUCGCGCUUACAAGGGCCCGCUGAGCACAGAUGACCAUGGAAGAAACAAACACACUGAAGAGGCUCCUGCCAACAACAUUCUCCGGGCGGCUGGAAGAAAAACAUACCGCCAAAGGCAAAGCGAUGUUUAGCCUGCACUUAAAAAUGCAACUCCCCUUUCCUCUCCUGUUUCGAAACUCAUUCGCCCCGUGGCACCGUCGGUGUUCAAACUUCACCCAAAUGUAUGAGCAGCUAGAUAGAAUAUGUGACGAUUGGGAUUCGAUUUUCAGAUGAACCACGAAGCUGGAUGAGCUCAUGUGGUCCCAGAUGCAUUAUCUCCUCAUCUUCAGGAAGAGGCUCAUUCCCUGAGCAUGGAAGGACCUUCCUUGAAAAAGCGGGAGCAACCAUACCUAAUCCCUGCUCUGCCUGGCGAGGAGAAAGCUCAGCUACCUUCCAUGUCAGGGCAAGAACUAGAAUUCCUCUGAGAUUCUUAAAACCCUGCAGAGUAACGCCAGUAAUAUGAUUCAUCUCUGAGUGCUUAAAAAUGGAAUUUAUGGUACCAGAAGGAAAAUGAUAAACAAUUUUAAAUUCCAAAGGUGCGGGAAUGCGCUCAGUCUAAUAACCAAAAAAAAAGAGCAUGGCUUGGGGAAUGUGCAUAUAAUCAGUAAAUCUAAUUCACUUAAUCAUCUGGGUAACCGGGUAUUUAGGAAAAUAGACUAAUCAAUGGCAAAAGCCAUUUGCCAUUUAGAAGAGGUUGUAAUAUGUGGGCAAAGAGUUUUCAAACAGCAAAGAUUCCACGGGCUACUUUAUGAAUAAUUCUUAGCAUUGUGUCACUGGAGUCUUGCCAUCUAUAAAGUAAAAAGAACAUCCAUUCAUUCAGCAAGAUCUUCUCGAAAGCCAGCCUUUGGCAGCCAUGGUUCCUGUAUUCAAGGUUCCUAUAAUCAUGCAGGCUGUAACUUUACCGAAGACGUUUUAGGGAAAAUAAGUGAAUUUGAUAAAUGUCCUAAGUUAUUCAAGUGUAAGACAAAUAGCUGAUGCGUGUCUUCCAAGAGAACAUCAUCUAGUGGACAGACUUUCACACCCACUACAUCAGUGAGUCUCACGGUUUCCUCAGUUUUGGCUUCUUCACCUUCAGAAUAACAGGAAUAGAGAAGGGGGGACAGGCUGAUCUCCAAGCUCCCUUUGAGUUCUCAUCCAAUUUGAUUUUCAGGAUUUACUGAGCAAUCACAUUGUGCAAGACGCUGACCUGGGUACAGCUCCGAUCUUUCCUGAUUCGAAAAGCGAAGCAAGAUGGAAUCGUGAAGUGCUAAGGUUCCAUGGAAAUUUUUUAAAGAUUACCCAAGCAGGUGGCACCGGACAUUCUUAGAGCAGCAAAGUCUCCCUUAGCCUCGUAGAAGCAAGCUGACUUCUUCCAAAUUUUCCCAAUUUUGAUGAUUUGCAUAACCCGAUAAAAUCUUUCUGCCUUUAUUCCUGUGUUCCGCUUGCGGACCAUUUCUCAGUGGGUGUACUCGUUUGAUUUUGCUAACUCACUCUUCAGUACUUUGUUUUUAAAGUGUCAUGUUAACUACCUUUUGGAUGUGCGAGGAUGUGUAUUCAGCACAUUGCUGAGCUCAGACUGAUUGGAUUUGAUCAUGGCCUGAAUGGUCCACUCAUUUAUUCCAGAAGGGUUUAUUGAACUUUACCAACACAUCACUGCAGUCCACACAUUAGACAGCCAAUUAGAGUUAUUACCUUACUCAGGGCAGAAAAUAGAUACGUAUUAGUUAAGUUAGUGACUUCCAGUCUAAACUAACUUGAUGUAGUUCAAGUCUCCUACCAGAUUUUUAGAGUCCUGUCCAAUUCCUUUUCCUAGUCCCAUCCUUUAUCCACUUUCCAUUGUUCUGUUCCCCUCGAUUGCUUUUGCAUCCAUUAUCUCUUGUUCUUGUUUUCAAUUUCUCUUUUAAUUUUUUUUUUUUUUACUUACAAUGGAUUUUUUUACCCAGUCAUCAUGCAUGGGUAGCAAUACAUUACAUGUAUAGUUAUUCUGUGGCCCAGAAUCCUUGACUUUAAAUCAAGAUGCAAACAUCUGGGGUUCAAGGCUCCUUUCAAACUAAGACAACUUCAAGUUUCCAACUGUAUUUCGAGGUAAUUUUCUUCCAAUUUAGCCUUAGAGGUUCCUUAUUUUCUCUCAACUAUUUUGUCUUAAGCCCCCCGGAACUUCUUUCAUGAUAGUACCGUCAUCCACCUAUCAUCAUUUCUCUCUCUGCCAUUCCUUUAUCUUUGCCAAGCUUCUAAACUGAAAUUGCAAAGCUAAUGUCCAGGAGGGAAUAACCUGUCCUCUGUGUUCUUAGGGAUUUUUGUUUUGUUUUAUGAGAUACUAAGUAAUCGUUUUUUUUUUUCCAUUUUCACCUUGUCAUAUGAUCUCUUAUUCCAACCAACAGAGUUUAUCUUUCCCCAAAUCAUUCAUUGGCAAAACCAGUACUCAACUAUUCAUCAGGCUGGUUGCAACGCCCAUGCUCUUUCUAGUUAUCAUUAAGAGAAAAUACAAAAGAAAAAUCAUGAGACUUUAAAUACUAUUUUUCUAAGUAGGCUCCAUGCCUAAUAUGGGGCUUGAACUCAUGACCGUGAGAUCAAGAGUAGCAUGCUCUACCCACUGAGCCAGCCAACUGCCCCUAAAGACUAAUUUUAAGUGGGUAGAAAGAGAGAAAGGAACAUCACUAACAGAAAUAAAGGAGACUUUUUAUUAGUCUUUGUGUUAGGC
ensembl:lncRNA